AUUGUUCUCCGCCGGACUUGUUGGUUAAACGUCACCGCAGAGCAGACGAAGAAGAACGCCGGAUUUGGCCACUAGGUGAUUUUGUGUACGAAGAGGAAGUUUUCACUCAUAAUCGUUAUGAAGGAAGGGGGUUUUCUUCGCUGUGACCAUAGAAGAACGCAAUUACGUCGCCAUCGCUUGAGAAGAAGUGUUUGCGCAAAUGGAAUAGCUUCUACCAGCACUUGAUUCUCAUUCCACAGUGCUUGGAGUCAUCUAUUGGAAGUGAAAGACUAUUGAUUAAUGGAUUAAGUGAUACCAUGGAAAAAAAUCAAGUGAAUGACUAGUGAUUACUGAAUAUAUAGAUGAGGAUGACUAGUGUAUUUCCCUUUGAUUUAAACUGAUAAUCAAAUCAAUCGUUGUAAACAAUGGGGAAGUGAAUGACUAGUGUAUUCCCCUUGGAUUCAAAUCGAUAAAGCAAUCGGUGCUUUACGUGUAGGUGA